UGUUAAAAAUUUUAUUCAUUUUUACUGUUAAAAACUAACGUGGCUGAUAAAAUAAUCAAACAAUUACAGGUAACGUGCCAUGUAUGCCUCAUUCUGAUAUACAUGGACCAAUUUUUAGUAAUUAAAAUGGAUAGAUUUUUAAUA
rfam:Gossypium hirsutum cultivar TM-1 chromosome 20, whole genome shotgun sequence